AGCGUGUUAGGCAAGUAGAAAUCCGGGGGUGUCACAUACCUCUAUGCGAGGGUGCGAUUCCUUCACACGCUACCA
rnacentral:tRNA from 1 species